rnacentral:rRNA from 1 species
CACGUAGGGUGCGAGCGUUUGUCCGGAAUUAUUGGGCGUAAAGAGCUCGUAGGCGGUCUGUCACGUCGGCUGUGAAAUCCCGAGGCUCAACCUCGGGUCUGCAGUCGAUACGGGCAAACUAGAGUAUUGCAGGGGAGACUGGAAUUCCUGGUGUAGCGGUGAAAUGCGCAGAUAUCUGGAGGAACACCGGUGGCGAAGGCGGCAUCCUGGACCAAUUCUGACGCUGAGGAGCGAAAGCCAGGGGAGCAAACGGG